AAGAAGCAUUGAAACAGAGGAUGCUGUCUUUGAAAAAGUAGAAAGGAGGAAUGAGGAAGCAGAAGAGAGACAGACAAAGAGCGCAGAAAAAUCUGAAUAUUAUAAAAUAUUAAGAGGCAUUGAAGGCCAAAAAGCAUCUAAGAGAAGUGCUGGAUAUUUGACUACUGAUAUCGAAAACUAAAUCAUAGGAUACAUGUACAAUCAAGGAGACACGAAGGAAUCAUUCUAUCAUUUCUGUUGAAAUUGAAAUAAAAAUAUCUGCAUUUAAA